UAUUCAAAUGAGAACUUUGAAGACCGAAGUGGAGAAAGGUUUCGCGUGAACAGCAUUUGGACGCGAGUGAGCCGCUCCUAAGCGAUAGGGAAAUUCCGUUCUGAAGAGCGAAAGGGAACAGGGUUAAUAUUCCCUGGCCGGGAAGUGGGCAAGCGGUAACGCAGCUGUGCUGUGGAGACGUCGGAGGCAACCCCGGGAAGAGUUCUCUUUUCUUGUUAACAGUUUAUUUCCCUGGAAGCAGAUCGCCUGGAGAUAGGGAUACAUAACUGGUAAAGCACGUGCACCUCGCGCGUGUCCGGAGCGUUGUCGACGGCCCUUGAAAAUCCACACACAGGGUCCUAGAUUGUCCCCACCCCCGGGCGUACUCACAACCGCAUCAGGUCUCCAAGGUGUGCAGCCUCUGGUUGAUAGAACAAUGUAGAUAAGGGAAGUCGGCAA
rnacentral:rRNA from 1 species